rnacentral:rRNA from 1 species
CUACGGGGGGCAGCAGUGGGGAAUAUUGGACAAUGGGGGGAACCCUGAUGCAGCAACGCCGCGUGGAGGAUGACGCAUUUCGGUGUGAAAACUCCUUUUAUAUGUCAAGAAAAUGACGGUAGCAUAUGAAUAAGCACCGGCUAACUCCGUGCCAGCAGCCGCGGUAAUACGGAGGGUGCGAGCGUUACUCGGAAUCACUGGGCGUAAAGGACGCGUAGGCGGGUUGGAAAGUCAGGUGUGAAAUCCUACAGCUUAACUGUAGAACUGCACUUGAAACUUCUAAUCUAGAGUAUGGGAGGGGGAGAUGGAAUUAGUGGUGUAGGGGUAAAAUCCGUAGAUAUCACUAGGAAUACCUAAAGCGAAGGCGAUCUCCUGGAACAUUACUGACGCUAAGGCGUGAAAGCGUGGGGAGCAAACAGGAUUAGAUACCAGGGUAGUC